rnacentral:rRNA from 1 species
UUUGCGACUGCGGAGACAUUACUGAAUUUUUGAAGGAGCUGUUUGCUGGCCCUGUCAAGGGGCAUGUGCACGCUCCGUUCAAAACUUUCCACCUUCACACCCCUGUGCACCUUCUGUAGGGUCGAGGUCGAGAGGCCAACACCCUAUGUUGUUACAAACCCUGCUAUGUUAUAGAAUGUCAUUGCGUGUAACGCAUUUAUAUACAACUUUCAGCAACGGAUCUCUUGGCUCUCGCAUCGAUGAAGAACGCAGCGAAAUGCGAUAAGUAAUGUGAAUUGCAGAAUUCAGUGAAUCAUCGAAUCUUUGAACGCACCUUGCGCUCCUUGGUAUUCCGAGGAGCAUGCCUGUUUGAGUGUCAUGGAAUCAUCAACUCUCAUCUGUUAUGGAUGAGGGCUUGGACUUGGGGGUUUUGCUGGUGUCUGCCAGCUCCUCUUGAAUGCAUUAGCUUGAACCUCUGCUGUAUCGGCUUCAACGUGAUAAUUGUCUACGUUGUGGCUGAGAGGCGCUCCGUCGUAGGUUUGGCUUCUAACGGUCUCUUUGAUGAGACAUACACCUUUGACCUCUGGCCUCAAAUCAGGUAGGACUACCCGCUGAACUUAAGCAUAUCAA